rnacentral:rRNA from 1 species
AACGAACGCUGGCGGCAGGCUUAACACAUGCAAGUCGAGCGCCCCGCAAGGGGAGCGGCAGACGGGUGAGUAACGCGUGGGAAUCUACCGUGCCCUACGGAAUAGCCCCGGGAAACUGGAAUUAAUACCGUAUAGGCCCUCCGGGGGAAAGAUUUAUCGGGGUAUGAUGAGCCCGCGUUGGAUUAGCUAGUUGGGGGGGUAAAGGCCUACCAAGGCGACGAUCCAUAGCUGGUCUGAGAGGAUGAUCAGCCACAUUGGGACUGAGACACGGCCCAAACUCCUACGGGAGGCAGCAGCGGGGAAUAUUGGACAAUGGGCGCAAGCCUGAUCCAGCCAUGCCGCGUGAGUGAUGAAGGCCUUAGGGUUGUAAAGCUCUUUCACCGGAGAAGAUAAUGACGGUAUCCGGAGAAGAAGCCCCGGCUAACUUCGUGCCAGCCGCCGCUGUAACAC